rnacentral:piRNA from 1 species
UGCCUCUGAAUCCACAAUCUUAGAA